ACCAAGAAAAUUACGCUGUUAUCCCUAAGGUAAUUUGUUCUUUAAAUCAAUACUAUUGGAUCAUAAACCACCAUAAAUUAAAGUAAUCACAAAUUAAAAGUUUAUUAAAUUUUAAAGUCACCCCAACCAAAUAUUAAUCAGUAAAAAAUAUUCUUAAUCAUAAAACUAAUCAUAAUAUAAAACUCUAUAGGGUCUUCUCGUCUUAUAAAAAAAUUUAAGCUUUUUAACUCAAAAAUAAAAUUCUUUAAAAUUUAAAUAAACAAAGAUGUUUUCUCAUCCAACCAUUCAUACAAGUUUUCAAUCAAAAAACUAAUGAUUACGCUACCUUUGUACAGUCAAAAUACCGCAGCCAUUAAAAUAAUCAUUGGGCAGGUUAAACCUUAUAAAAUUAACAAAAAGCCAUGUUUUUG
rnacentral:rRNA from 1 species